CUUUGUGGCCAUACCACCCUGACUGUGCCUGAUUUGUCUGAUCUUGGAAGCUAAGCAGGGUCAGGCCUCGUUAGUACUUGGAUGGGAGGACGUUCAUGGUAAGAAGGUACAACCU
rnacentral:rRNA from 1 species